CCUUUUUUCUUCCGCUUCAAGUUCCCUUUCUUGUCGCGCGAUUAUUCAUAACCAGGAAAUCAAAUGAUUUCCAUAACAAGCCGGAAUUAACGAGGUUACGUCCUAAUAAUCAUUUAAUUUACACUACCUAAUUAAGGCAAUGUCUAAUAGACUAUUUACGACCUGAAAGGUGCAAUUCGCGACCCGUUUGAGUGGGGGAUUCUGCACGUUCAUGUCAAUUUCGAAAGCUAUCGGGUUAACUCUCAGUUCCGUAACGAAAUCGGCUAUCAUGGAGUUAAUGAAAUGUUUUCUUGCGUUUGUGUUCUCAAGCUGCAUGAUCCGCACAGUGGUUGAGAGUCAGUCUGUCAGUGUUGAGCCACAGGUUACUGCCUACUUGGGGGGUGAAGUCACACUGCGUUGCCAGUUCAUUCAGGGAGGCUCAGGUGCAAAUGCCACACAGGUCCAAUGGAGGAAGGAAUCAUUUUCCGAAGCUUUAGCCGUUUUCCAUCCUCAACAUGGGAUGAAUUACUCCAAAUCUUCGGGUGGACGAGUCCGUUUCACCAGCAGCUCUGUGGAUGAUGCUUCCAUCAGCAUCAUUAAUAUUAAUGAGACAGAUGCGGGAAAGUACACCUGUAAAUACAACACUUUCCCUGAGGGAAUUAAGGAAGCCACCACCACACUCACUGUGAGGGUGGUUGAGAGUCUGUCUGUCAGUGUUGAGCCACAGGUUACUGCCUACUUGGGGGGUGAAGUCACACUGCGUUGCCAGUUCAUUAAGGGAGGCUCAGCUGCAAAUGCCACACAGGUCGAAUGGAGGAAGGAAUCAUUUUCCGAACCUUUAGCCGUUUUCCAUUCUGAAUUUGGUAAGACUUACUCCAAAUCUUCGGAUGGACGAGUCAGUUUCACCAGCAGCUCUGUGGAUGAUGCUUCCAUCAGCAUCAUUAAUAUUAAUGAGACAGAUGAGGGAAAGUACACCUGUAAAUACAACACUUUCCCUUGGGGAAUUAAGGAAGCCACCACCACUGUGAGGGGUAAGAGAGCCACAUUUCAUACUGUACCAGUUUUUCUUUGAAGUUCCAGUGCUGUCGUUUGUUUUUCAAAUUGGAGGCAGUAUAACGUAUUCAAUUUUAGUUCAUUCAAGUGUAACAGGACCACCAAAUUACAUCAUGACAUAUAUAUUUCCUGGCAGAAUUCAAUAAGCAAAACGUUAAAGACAGAUUCCUUCUCACAUUAUGAUUUUAGAGUUUUGAAGAUUAUGUGCAGGAAGAUUUUGUUCUACAGACUGUUUCUAUCAGACACUGCUUAAAUUGUUCCUGGAAUAACUAUCCCAUGUGAAUAUUCAGAAAGUAUUCAUAAUGAAAAAUAUUCAUAAUAUAUUUUGUUUCCACUGGCCUGUUACAAUUAUAUUAUGAAUGUACAUUAGAGUUGUAACCAAACAAUCAUGCUAAUGGCUGCAAAUGCAUAUCCAAGCAGUCAAACCCUGGGAGCACUCAACAGCAGUGGCGUCUGGGAUUGUAACUGCCCUGCUGCUCAUAGUCCUCAUAGCAGCAGCACUGUACUUCAUCAUGAUGAAGAGGAGGCAGAGAAACCUCACUGCCGUGCGUGGCUUCCCCAGAUGCGACGCUGCGGCCCAGAGCCGCAGCAGCAGAAGGAGCAGCAGCAGCAGCAGCAGGCGUAAGUGUCACCCCAUUCACCACAUGACUUCUGCAUGCCCAUUCGACACAAAACCAACUUCCUUCAUCGGCGCUUUUCCAGCCAGCCAGUUCAC